AACUAUUAUCCGUAUUUUUAUAAUUAUUGUAAAAUUCUGUAGUUAAAAAAAUUAAAUUUACAGUGUGUAAUUUUUCCAAAAAAAACAAAAUAGUCCUUAUUGGGCCUUUUCAAAAGUUGACUGGAUUCAAAGGGUACAGUAGUAAGUCCAAUAUAGAUCAGCCCGGCCCAAUUGCUUCACGUCCAACAUGAGAAGUGAGAACCCUCUUACAGAAAAGCAAGAAAGCCGAGAAAAACCCUUGAUUUUGAGGGGGAAGAACUGAGAAAUGUUCGGUCGAAACAGAUUCCUCACUUUUCCUACGGUAAUUGGAGCAGUCCUGAUUGGAGUUGUUUCAGGCAAAGCAAUAUUUGGACCCCCACUUGAAGAGUACUGGAGAAAGAAGAUUGAGGAAGAGACAGCCGCAAAAGAAAAUGGCGGAAGUUCAACUUGAACAGUCAUGAAUGAAUUUCUUCAACUAUGGUCAUUUUCACCAAGACAAAGCACAGGCACCAUUGAAUCAUCCUUUAAUUUAUUUUUUUCCAACGCCAAAAUGCAUUGGAUGCACUGAUUGGCUAUUACUCGCAAUAGUUAAUCUCAAUGAUGAAAUGCUAUAGCAAUUUUUUAUUUUUUGUACAAUUCCACUCAAGUUGCAAAAAAAUUCAGCACAUGCUUUACUACUAUUCUCAUGAGGACUUGAAGCUUGAGAAGUUAUGCCAAUGAAUGAAAGAAUACCUUGUUAA